UACAGAGGGUGCGAGCGUUAAUCGGAAUUACUGGGCGUAAAGCGCACGUAGUCGGCUUUGCAAGUCGGGUGUGAAAUCCCCGGGCUCAACCUGGGGAACUGCAUCCGAGACUGCAUUUGCUAGAGUAUGGGGAGAGGGAAGCGGAAUUUUCUGGUGUAGCAGUGAAAAUGCGUAGAUAUCAGAAAGGGAAACAUCAGUGG
rnacentral:rRNA from 1 species